CCUACGGGGAGCAGCAGUGGGGAAUAUUGGACAAUGGGCGAAAGCCUGAUCCAGCCAUGCCGCGUGUGUGAAGAAGGCCUUCGGGUUGUAAAGCACUUUCAGUGGGGAAGAAAGCCUUGGGGCUAAUACCCUCGAGGAAGGACAUCACCCACAGAAGAAGCACCGGCUAACUCCGUGCCAGCAGCCGCGGUAAUACGGAGGGUGCGAGCGUUAAUCGGAAUUACUGGGCGUAAAGCGCGCGUAGGCGGUCUGAUAAGCCGGUUGUGAAAGCCCCGGGCGCAACCUGGGAACGGCAUCCGGAACUGUCAGGCUAGAGUGCAGGAGAGGAAGGUAGAAUUCCCGGUGUAGCGGUGAAAUGCGUAGAGAUCGGGAGGAAUACCAGUGGCGAAGGCGGCCUUCUGGACUGACACUGACGCUGAGGUGCGAAAGCGUGGGUAGCAAACAGGAUUAGAUACCCCUGUAGUC
rnacentral:rRNA from 1 species